CUUGACCGACCCCAGCCACAGCGGACGAUCCUCCGGCCGACCCUGCCCAUAAGUCUCCAGCAGGGCCUGAGCCUC
rnacentral:antisense_RNA from 1 species